rnacentral:rRNA from 1 species
AACGAACGCUGGCGGCAGGCCUAACACAUGCAAGUCGAGCGAACCGCAAGGUUAGCGGCGGACGGGUUAGUAACGCGUGGGAACGUGCCCAAAGGUACGGAAUAGCCUCGGGAAACUGAGAGUAAUACCGUAUGUGCCCGAAAGGGGAAAGAUUUAUCGCCUUUGGAUCGGCCCGCGUUGGAUUAGGUAGUUGGUGAGGUAAAGGCUCACCAAGGCGACGAUCCGUAGCUGGUCUGAGAGGAUGAUCAGCCACACUGGGACUGAGACACGGCCCAGACUCCUACGGGAGGCAGCAGUGGGGAAUCUUGCGCAAUGGGCGAAAGCCUGACGCAGCAACGCCGCGUGGGGGAUGAAGGCUCUCGGGUUGUAAACCCCUUUCAGCAGGGACGAAUCAAGACGGUACCUGCAGAAGAAGCCCCGGCUAACUACGUGCCAGCAGCCGCCGUAAGAC